AGCAUUUCGAAAUGUCAAAAAGCCCCUCUCUUUUUCUUUUCUCCCAAAAUCCCCUCAAUGCACGCAGCAGGGCAGCGUCCUACCAGGCACGUCCGCGGCUCCCUCCCGCGGGGCCCCUCGGCUCCGCUCUGCCCCUCUGCCCCGCUCCGCGGCGCGACCCCGGCUGCAUUGCUCGGUGGCUGCUCGGGCGGGGCGGAUCGCAGGUGCCCGCUCCGCUCCGCGCGGCUCUGCCCUCCCGCCGCCCGCCCCGCCGCUUCCCGGUAGCGGCCGCUGUGGGAAAGCGGGAGCUUUUAUUUUCGGGUUAAGGGAAAAAUAGAAAAGAAAGAAAAAGUAAAAGUGGGAAUUCCCCCGCUCGCCACCGCGGGGAUAAAAGGGCACCGGGCGGCAUCGCAGGAAGAGAAACGACGGGAACGGCAGCGUGAAGCGGAGCGGCGGAGCCCGGCUGGGCGCAGGUGGUGCGGUGCGGUGCGGUGCUGUGCGUUCGGUUGGAAGGAUGCUACAAAGACCAGAGAAUCACAGAAUCAUAGGCGUCGGAAGGGACCUCUGGUGAUCAGCUAGUUCACCAUCCUGCUAGAGCAGAAUCCCUACAGGAGGUGAUCAAGUUCAACUCCUGACCAAUUCACGGCUUGCUGAAAUCUAAUGCAUGCUAUUGAGGGCAUUAUCCAAAUGCCUCAGAAAUACACUACAGAACUUCAAAUGGACCAUCCAGACUUUCUGUUAGUGCUCCCAUUCCCUGUUCAUACAGUUGUGCAACACACUCAGCAGUGGUGGCUGGUACUGGGCAGGAUGUGGGCCUGCUCCCUGGGAAAGGAUGUGGACCUGAUCCCUAGUCAGGAUGCAGACCUACUCCCCAUGGCAAGAUACAGACCUGUUCUCCAGGGCAAGAUACAGAUCUACUCCCAGCCACUGGGGCUUCUGCACGUCUACACUUGGGUAUGACAGCAAUCUGCACUGGCUUUGCCUGUUGGUGAGAAGCAGCUUACUCUCCACGUUACUGCUAUGAAGGACUUUGGUGUAGCUGUCCUGAUAAUUGUGUGGAAGUAUCUGAGCUGCUUGAUGGCUGUUUGGUGCCUUACAGAAGAGUGCUGUGAAUGGGAGAAAAAAAUACCACAGCCAAGAUAAGUGAUGGAAAGCCUGCUUCUGCUUCAACAAGCCAUAAAAGAAAGAAGAAACUGGGGAAGGGAAACUGCCACCAAUUGUGUUUCAGUACAGAGAAAGAAAGGAAUUUUUACAGUGAUGGUAAGAUCUACUAAUAAUCAUUGGGCAAACAAAAAGGACUUCAGCAUUUGCCAGUGGCGUUGAUACAAUCAGAAACUUUAUAAGAGUGGUUUGAAGAUGUGAACGUAAAAGUGUGUGAAAAGUGGAUGCAAGUAAUAACACUGAAUAUAGGUAAUCUGAAAAUUUGAAAUGAAUAAUUCAGAAUGAUUUAAACAACAACAACAGAAAGAACAACAAGAGCAUUGAAUAGGAAAAUGGUAAAGGAAACAGUUUUUCCAAAAGGAGAUAAGGGAAUACAAGAUUUUCUGGAAUGUAUCAAGAGUGACUCAAUAGAUUACUUUAGUGUUUUCAGAAAUGAAAGAGGAUGAAUAUGCAAAAGCUUAAAAGGAUAACAAAAACUGAAGCUGAGUAUUAUUUGUUAGCCUUGAAUUCACUGGCAUACUCAUUAGUGAGUAUUAUUGAAAAGCAUGGUUUUAAAAAAAUAGCUCAAUAGCCAAUGACUGUAAAACUCUAUAAAGUACAUAUUUAGUGAAUAACCUCUAAGGUAACAUGAAAUUUUUUAAUGAUUAGUGAAGACAAUUUUAAACUAAAAAGCCAGCUUGUCUGAGGCUCAUCACAAUAGGCAGAUUGCUGGUAAAGAUGUAUAAAAUUACUUCUUUGUUUUGUUUGGAAAUAUAUUUCUUUGUUUAAAUGCCUACUGCAAAUUGGGGGAAAAAAAAUCUGAAUAAAGUGAAAAUAAAUGAUGGGCCAAAUGAAUGCCUGAGUAACUUCAAGGUUAAGUGAAUUUGCACGCUUUUCAUGAAAAACUCUGGUCAGUUUUAAGUAUAGAGCUAUGACUAAUGCCACCACAGAGUUUAUGAAUGCGUUUGUACAUCCUUUUUUGAUGUAGAGUAUACUUUUUUCAAGACAACAUUUGCUUAACUGUAGUAACAGAAUGUUGUAACGUAGGAGUACGGCACAGGCCUGUUGAUUUUGUACUACGUUACUUUAUAUCUUUUGAAUCAGAGAAUGUUGUAGUAAAGCAUGGCGUAUUUAUCCAAUAUGGGUAUUUUCAUGUUUGUGUUUCUAAAAAAAAUGAUUUCACACUUUAAUUAAUGCAGUAAAUUCUUUUUCUAUUUUUUUUAAAUUAUCUAAUUAAAAGAUAAUUUCACAUUAUUUCAGAGUAUUCCUGACUCUUUUUUUUUUUUUUUUUUUUAAUAGAAAGCAGAUAAAGGUCAAUUUAUUUAAAAUGAUUGAAAUUUCAAGUAGUAUACACACAGUGUGAGCUUGGAAAUAAUUUGACUAAUUACUAUUCAAUCUGUGAUCUUAAUUGUACAAUUUUCUGAUAAUAAUAAUUAAAAAGGUUCUAAAUAGCAAAAAACCUGCACAGUUAGCUAAAUCAGUUUUUCACAAUUACUUCUUGUAUAUAAGUGGAUCAGAAUGAGGAUUUCUUUCACUUUUCGGAGGAGCAUAUGCAUAACUGUGUGCUAUUGAUUUGGUAUAACUUUCAGAUCUUUCAAAGCUUGAUAGAAGGAUACUAACUACAGUAAGUUGUGAAAAUGUGGUAGUUACAUCUUUUUAGUGGUUUUAAAUUGGCAGAGGGCAGAUUUAGACUAGAUAUUAGGAAUAAAUUCUUUUCUGGGAGGGGUGGUGAGACACUGGAACAGAUUGCCUAGUGAGGCUGUGGAUGCUCCCUCUCUGAAAGCUGGAAUUCAAGGCUGGAUGGGGCUGUGAGCAACCUGGUCUGGAGGGACACAUCCUUGCCUAUAGCAGGGGGUUGGAACUAAAGGUCCCUUCCAACCCAAACCAUUUUAUCAUUCCAUGAUUCUGUGAUGUGUGGAGACAGUGAGAGCCUUGGGGAUCUGAGUGGGCUGAGGUGCCCAUGGGGUGGGGAUGUGGCGUUGGCCUCCAUGCAGCACUGGUGAGGUCACUAUUGGUACUAAAAUCCAGGCACAAGGCUCAACACUUUGGUGUGUUAAGAGGUUGUUUCCACUUUUCUCCAAAUUUUUGUGCAGUUCUACAUUUACCACGUUCUUUUCCUGUGGUUUUUUUUUUUUAAGUUAUCAAAGCCUCUCCACUUUUUGAAUCCAUGAUGUUUGUGAAGUCAAAAAUAAAAAGUGUGAAAUAAAAGGUUUGCUUAUUCUAGAAUAUAUUCAAAGUGAUGAAAGGUUGUUGUUUUUCUCUCACAGAUGUUUAUUAUCAAAAUUGGCUCCUGCAGUAGAUAAUCAUGUAGUUUCAAUGGUUUCAGACUUCAGAACUAAGGAAAAACAGAUAUUUUCUUCUCUGCAGGAGUCCUGGAACUCAACUGCAUCCUCUAAAGUUGUAAAUGACAGCAUAUGAUAGUUGCCAUAGUUGCCACAGGAGCAUAAGUUUAAAAGCUGUAUCCUUAAAAGAUCUUUAGCCCAUGGGGAGAAACAUUUGUCAAAUGAGUUCUAAAUUCUAGGGUGUUCCUAUUGAAUAUCUGACAUAUAUGGUAUAGAACUUCCUGUUUUAUCAAAUCCUUGCAAUGUGAAUUGUUUAAAACUUGCCCUGUCUAUAAAACAGUUAGAUGUGUUAAGGUUCUGAAUGGGACAGAAAGCAUAGGUGUGCCCCCUCUGAACCAUUCAAAUCAUAUUAAAAUUUCCAGUUCUGUCUAGACUACAGCUUUUUAAGCUUCUAUAUUCCCUGGUUAUAAUGUAGGCAUUGAGCCAGCAAGAUUUGUGUCUGGUUAGCAGCACAGGUUGAUCGAACUGAAGAAGGGAAGCCCAGAGGUAUCCUGUUCAUGGAUUGCUAUCAGUCUUGUGUAUUGGCUCUGUAAAACUAACUGCCAUGGGCAGUACUAUUUAGCAAUACAGUUAUCUUUUUGGAUCAGUGGAAGAUACCAUCCCAUGUACUACCAUAGCUCUUUUACUCGACUAAGCUUCCACUACAUUUUCUGGAUUACAAGGUAAGCGCUAUCACUGCUGCACACUGCUGAGAAAGAUAAGAAAAGAGGUUUUCACAUUAAUUUCAACAAUAUUGAUCAUUUAUGGUGUUAAACGGCACCAGGUAUUCUUAAUAUUUUCAUACUAAUUCUGUCUCAGGUAAAAGAAAGGGCACUUUAAAAGCUGAAUAUUGCGAGGUCAUAAAGCACUGCUGGCAGCAGAGCCAUUUCAGGAACUGUAACUAUCAUUUGGGAAUAUGCUUUUAUGCUUUCCUAUAGCAAAUAUGUUGAUUGUUCCUGGAGCCUUCAUGGGAAAACAAACGUCAAGUGAUUUAGCUCAAGUCUGCAAAAAAGUUACUUUUUUACUUUUUUGUUGUUUUGAGUACCAUAAAAAUAGACUUGAACCGAAGGUGUUUCAAAAGUUCUAGCCAGUAUUUCCCUGACCUUGCUGCAGGUGCUGUUCUUCCUUGGGUGCCUGCCAGAAUCCAGCAGCAAUAGUUUUGCAGCACAUGCUCUACUAGAACCUUGCACCAAUCUGAGGAAUGUGCAAGUUCAUGGUGUUACUUGGACACGCAAUCGUACAUCAGCUGCGUUACCAGAAUGCUGAUGCAUCGCCUGGGCAAAGGGCUUUUUUGCAGUUAUCACCUGCCUGGGUUGCUGCCCCUGGGAGCUGUAUUGCAAUAACAUCAGCCCCAUAAAAUGCCAAGGUGUUGCUGCAGGGAGAGGUCUGGCAAACUGUAAUUUCCUAAGUGGAGAUGAGUUUGUUAUGGUGAUAAAUCUUUUUCUCAUAACUGCUGCCCACCAUCAGUGAUUUUGAGAAAUUUCUGUUGAUCCCUCAAGUCUCUCUGGAAAAAAAAAAAAAAACAACAAAAAAAACCAGUCUCAACAGUAUGGGAAAGAUAACCUGGCAAAGCUUCUGGCAUGUCCUUUGGGUUUGGUUGUUUUGUUUGUUUGUUUGGGUGAGGGGAAGGUUGUUUUUUUGAGGGGGAUGGUUUUUUUUCCUUUGAAAGCAGUGCCAGUGUUUUGUGGGCAAAGUGUUAACUUGCCUUUUUUUCUUUUUACACUCGGUAAUUUGCAUAAAAUCUAUUAUUAUUGGCACCCCAAGAGACUUUUAUGAUAGUGUGGAGAAGAAGGGACUACAGAGAAACAUAGCCAAAGAUAGCUGAAGAUGUGGGCGUGUCAUAUGUGAUAAAUUUGUCAGCAAUUAAUUUCUUAAUGAGAGGCAUAACAAAUAGAGGAAUCCCCUUAAGAUGUGCUAUUGGAAAUCCCAUAUGUAUUUUGAUUUCUUGAAUGCUCUUCUGGGAACAGAAUUAACAUUAAAAUGCAUGUUAUUCUGCCAGUAAUUUGGGCUGAAAAGCAACUCUUUGUAUUUUUCUUCCAUUCACCCACACCCUUGAAGCAUUUUGGCAGCAAUAUCAGUAGGACAGUCACUCCUCUGAUAUCUGAUGCUUUGCACUGCAUGUUUGGGGUUACAGUGCCUUAACAGCAGAGCUGAAGCCAGAUGCAUCCUCCAGCUUAGGGAGCAAUUCCUGUCACUCAUAUGGUCCAUAUGAUUAAAUGCCUCUUGGUCCUUUUAGGAAACCAUUUGCUGUCCUGCAGUGUUCUCUCAUUCACACACACUUCUGUGUCUCUCCAUUUAAUGUGUCUCUUCCUCUGCUCAGCCUGCUGUGUGCCGUAAUGCGGAAGAGCAGACCAAACUCACAGUGAUUUAUGAGUGCUUCAUGGAUAGAAGCCAAGGCUGCUGCAGGCUCUGGUAACUUUAGUAACAAAAUACUAAGGAAACAUUACCGAAUUUUCCAGCUCCCAGGUUGAUCUCAAUUAGAAAGCAUGUUAUGAUGAGUUCUAUCCUUAGUCUCUUUUAGCACUAACAGGGUUAAAUAGCAAAGUGAAAGGACAUUCUUUUCAUUUUCUACCAUGGAGGCACGACUGGUAACUGUGAUGACUGUAUAUCUUAGUAGGUGAAAAAUGACCAACCCUAGAUGAGCAAACACUGGCAGAGAACAUAGAAGCAGACACAUAAUUCACAGGCCAGACAGCAGGAGAUAAGGCACUGCAUAUGAAUUAAGAGGAUGUGGGUGUGAGAGCAGCACUGAAAGAGGGGAUUUAACUGCUUCUCUGAAGGUGCAAUUACACAAACAGCGCUUCUGGCUGUAUCUUAUCUAUAGAUACCACUCAAUAGCAGAAAUUGGUAAAAAUAAAAAAAUAAAAAAAUCCACACACAAAAAAUAUGUGGAAAUAGCAAGCUUGCUUCCAGACAAAAUAAAUGACAAUCAUCAGUUAAAAAUACCUAUAGAUAACAUCUGCCUUUUAAGUAAGCAGUAUAGUUCUUGUUUCUUUCUCAGAAUGUGUGUUUUGGUUCACAUUUACAGACAUUUUCUUUUGUUUUUGACAGACUUUUCAGCAUGUUCUUUCCAAAACAUGGAUUCUGGGUAACUAUUGUCUAGCAAUGUCAGCUGCCUCAGUGUACCUUAGUUAAAAUAGUUACCUCAGUGUACCUUAGGUUAAAAUAGUCCUUUUUCCUUUAGUUGUCUUGCAUUAAUAUCCUCAAUAUCCAGUAAUAUCCAGUGAGGCAACCUGUGCAAUGCAGGGUCAGCAUCUGAAGCUGUAGAGAGCUCCUGGAUGUCUGAGGACACAGACUCAGGGAGGCUCCUAUUCCCUCAUUUAUAUAUUUUGCUUUUUAAAGAAGAGAUUUAUAUUUCCUGCGUAAAAAUUUUUGUUCUCCCAAAGUCACAAACCUCCAAGCAAAAAUGUUUUAUUCCCAAGGCUCAGGCAUGAUCUGAGGGACAAUUUAUGAGUAAGACACACAUUGUUCAUACUUCAGCUUGCCAAGCUCUGGGCCAUUUAGGCGAGCUUUGUGGAAGCAGCUGAUUGCACUUUAGGUUUGUAAGGACAGUCUGGGUUUCCUGCAUAUCUAUCUAAUUUAGCUGCCCUUAAUGAUCCUGUACAUAUGUCCUGGUGUAGUAAUACUGUAUUACAAGCCAUCUAGCUUUUAUGCUGAAGAAGCAUGCAAUCACUGUGACUGUUGAAAUAAAUCUUUGUAAAACUGGGCAGGAGUUUUUCAUACUAGAUUUCAAAAUAAAUUGAACUCCUUCAGCAAAGCUUUCUCUGUAAUCUUGAGAAAGUUAGGGUGAUCCUAUAGGAAUAUUUUGUUCCACAGGCUUUGUUUGAUCAUUUAAGUAACUCUAUAGGCCAGUGCUCAGAUAUAAUUUUCUGGCUUUUUUUAUUUUUAUUUUUUAUUGUAGUAAUACUUUCCAUCUGGAUACACUUAGAUUGUCUGGUUCUAAUUUAGCCAAAUGACAAACAAACACAUUCUUAAGUGACUAGCUCUCCAUUCAAAAGUCUCAUAGCUUAGUUUUCCGAAUUAUGCAUGUGAACUAUUCGAUUUUUUUUGUAGCAUGACUAACAUUAGAUUUUACAAAUUAUUUAUAAAGCAGACAGAAGUGACUGCAUAAAACAUAAUUUUCACGUAUAAACAUAGGACUUUCAGUCAAGAUCUGCUAUUCUAGCAUUUAACUGCAAAUAGGGACUGACUGCAGUGUUUCCUACACAGAAAAAUGUACAGAUAUAAUGCUGGCUGAAUCAUAGAACCACAGAAUAGUUUGAGUUGGAAGGGACCCUUAAAGGUCAUCUGGUCCAAAUCCUCUGCAAUGAACAGGGACACCUACAAUUAGAUCAGGUGUUCAGAGCCCUGUCCAGCCUGACAAUUAAUGCCUCUAAGGAGUGGGGCAUCUACCACCACUCUGGGCAACCUGUUCCAGUGCCUCAGUAUCCUCACUGUAAAACACUUCUUCCUCGUAUCCAAUCUAAAUCUGCCCCCUUUUCAUUUGAAACCAUUUUCCCUUGUCCUGUCAAAACAGAUCCUGCUGAAGAGUCUGUCCCCUUCUUGCUUACAGGCACCCUUUGGAUACAGAAAGGCCGCUAUCAAUCUACUCUGAACAAUCUGAACUCUACUCUGUCCUAUUGUGCUCCUUCAUUUCAUAGAUGGGAGGGAAAGCAUGAGCAACACAAUAAAUUCCAGAGCCAAGUGUGUUCAUUCACCUGAAUGAGAUGAUUUCAACACAAUUUUGCAACAUGUAUAUAUACAGCGUUUUGUAUCUUCCAAUCACAGUGCUUUUGUUUGUACUACUGAGAUACUCAUGUCCUUGAGGAGCAGUAAAAUCAGCACAGUCCCUCCAUAGCUCUAUAUGUACUCUUACCAUGAAUUCUGCUUAUGGAAGAGUUACUGUUCCUGGAGUCGACAGAGCAGGGAACUCAUUGUGUAAACAGUUAACAUCUUGCCUACAGGUAUGAAGCAGAUCAAUCCCCCAGCUCCCAACCUGCUUGCUAGAGCUCUGUGAAUCAGCAGAGCCCUGUUGCAAGGUUUCAGACUUUCAGAUUUCAUUGCCAUUCAAUGUAACAUUUAAGUGCAUUUCAGACCCUGCAUUUUAAACCAGCUCUAAGUACAAUUUAGGGAUCUAUGCAACUGCACUUAAAUUUAAAUUCCAUUAUGUGACUGAAUAAUUUAUAAGUGUGUACAGAAAAGGUUAAUUGAUGGUAACCUUACUUCUUUGGAUGUCAGAAGUAUUUCAGCAUUUCCUGAUGAUCUGAUUAUCUCUUGAAAUGUCUUAAAUUUUCUUUUCCAGGUUUGCUUCAGCCUCAUUCAAUUUCACCUCUCUCAGUUUUGGGAAGACGAUUCUGUCAUUUCUGUACAUGCUUUAUAAGACAUUAUGAGUGUGAGCAUCACUGCUUUGUAGAGGGAGGACACAAAGCAGAGAAAAAUCAAGUAACUUUUAAAAAAGUAUACAAGAAGUCAUUAAAAAGUAAGACUGAAUGUUUUUGAAGACUUUGUCAGCCAGGGACCUGCAUGGGAGAGGAGGGAAAUUUUGACAGCUGUGGUUAUGGCUAAAAGAUUAUACCCAUAAUGGGGAAGAUAGGACUAGAUGAGAGAUGGUUUAGUAUGCAUGGUUGUUCUGGGUUGGUGGUUGGACUAGAUUAUCUUAGAAGUCUUUUUAAAUCUUAAUAAUUCUAAGAUUCUAUGAUUAUAUGCCUUUCUCCAGUCCCUACUGCCACAGCCUCGAAUAAUUAUGUAUAAAUGUCCAUUUGUUUUAAAUUACUUGUAAAAGUACAUUCCGUAAUGCUCUUUCUCAAUAUCAUUACAAUGCUCAGAUCUUAUUGUGACUUUGAACAAGCUCACAGGGUAACAUUUAUAAAGUAUAAUGCUUUCAACAGCUUUGCUUUUAUGUCUGCUUUUAGCCACUUUGUGCAGUCACAGAAAAUAUGGAAUAGCUGCUAAGACAUCAGAGAUGGUUACCUUUUCAUUCUCUUUGUAAUGUAUCUUUCUUGUAAAACUAAGUCUUCUGAAUGAUAAUGGCAAAAGUUGUAUUUGAUGUCUUGUAUGUAAGGAUAUUAUGUGCCAAGAGUAGUAGCAUCUGAGUAGGGUUUCCUUGCUUUUCAAUAUUUCAGAUGCUCAUUUUCUAGUCUUCAUGCUUACGUUGUGCUGCAGGAAAUGCUCGUAUUAUGCUAGAUAAAUGAAUGAGACCAGGCAGGGCACAGAAUCAAUUCUAAUAGUUUCAUGAUAGGCAAAAAGACAAAGACUGCUUUAAUCAAAUCUCCCCACACAAGUAAGCACUAUUUAAGCUGAAGUUAAAUAGACCCAAGCUGAGGUGCACAAAAUGGCAGACUUAAGCUCUUACAGUCACUCUUAAAAGAAAUCAGUUCUGCAUCUGAUCAUAUCUAAGUGAUCAGAUCUAAGUUAGAUUUUCCUUCCCAUUCCAUUUGUUAUCCUCUUUAAUAAUGAACACUUGUUUAAUGAUGAUUUUAGGGAUCUGUACAGACUUUGCCUCUUCUUACUGUCCCAACUAUACAAUAUAAUUGCAUUGCACCUUACAAGUGCUGCUGGGGACAAUUUAUAUAUAACAUGAAAACUGUAAGAAUUGUCUAGCAUAUACUCACAGUAUACCUACAUGAAUGUCAGUGUGCCCACUAAGGACUUAAAUGAAACUGUAGAUACAAUAAGUUGCAAUAUCCAUGUAUAAGUGUUUAUUCUAUGUCAGCUAAAUUCACUGUCAGGAUCAAUAGUUUCAUUUCAGAGAUUUUUAAGACUGAGAUGUGAUAAUUAAUCUAACAAAAGGUGUCUUUCGGCAGAGCUAAAGCUACAAAUAGAUGUUAUGAAGGCUUAAAAGAUCUUAACAAUAGUUGCUAAUCUAAACACUGGGUGUUAAAUUAAGCCAAAAUACAGUGUUGAGUCAUUACAGUCAUCAGCUUUGUUCAAUUGAAAACAGAAUGCUAGUUUAUAUUGAAAGAAAAAUAAUGAGAGAAGAAAAACAAUUUACAUGUUGGCAGAAUGUUUUUGAAAGAUAUUUUAAUAAUAAAACCAGCUUGGUCUGAAUGGUCUAUAAUAUGUGACAACUGGAGAUGCUGAGUAAAAAUAAAUUUAGAUUGCUUACGUUCAGAAAUGUGGGCAAUUGAAACAGAUGGUUUACGUGAGAGAUCAACCAAGAUCUCAUAACAGUGAGUUAAGGAGAAUAGAAGUGCAUCUAACUUUAGCUAACCCAGCCCAAAAGAACUGUGUGAAACAGACAGGAGUAAAUCAUGCCUUUGGAGGUGUUUGGCUUCUGCAUUGACUAGAUAAUGAACUUUAACUACUAAUUUCUGUAGUUAGUAACAGUAGUGAUGGUUGCAUACAGUUAGAGGUAAUUAUAUUCAUCAAUAAAAAUCCCUCUACACUCCUCCCACUGUGCUACCUGCUGUAGGAAACCUGUGUUAGCAGGGGGAUUGGACUGAGAUGGUAUCCAAAGGUCCCUUCCAACCCUAAAAUUCUGUGACUUUGUGAUUUUUAAAUAGAUUUAGACUUAUGUGGUUACAGAUAAGUGUCUACAGAUGCAAAUAGGAAGUGUACUUUUGUGUGGAACAAGUUAUACAUUUACAUUUCUCUUUCUGCAUGUGGAAUAUCCUGGUCACACGUGAGCAGAAGUGCUUUGCUUCUGUAGGGAUCCAAGUCACGAUGUGUAACUGAUACUGCACUGAAACACAAUAUCAAGUAGUACUCUUCUCUGUCCUCAGCUUUUCUUCCUGAACAGUUGGCUUGAUUCAGCCUACUUAAUUAAACACUUCCUUGGAAAACAAGAUAAGCAUUGUAAUUACAAUUCUAUCAUGAAAUCAUGGUCUUCAGAUUAGGAAAUCUAAACAUUCCCCAAUAAAAGACAACAAAAAAUCAACUUUUGUUAUUUAAAAUUAAGAGGAAACUCCAUGUGGUGGAAUAAACAAAAGCUAACAAGCUAAUUACAAACUGAAAUAUACUUUUGACAGUAUGAAAAUUCCAAACAAUCAGUUCCAAAUGUUAGAAAUGCGACUAAUGGUUGAAAUAGCAACAAUCAAGUUUUACUCACUUAUGCCAACCUUAAUUUCCUACCCUGUAAAUCACAGACGAAUCUCAUAAACAAGAGAACCACUAGAGAUGUGAUUAAUGAGUUUUUACAAAUAUGGUGGUGCUGGCAGACCAAUUUUUGACAAUAUGGAAAAUGUGGGGAAUAAAAAACCAAAAAGAUCUUUCUCAAUAUGAAUGAAGAGUGGGAAUAUUUUUUCUUCCCAAGUGGGGUAAAAUAGCCUUGUGGAGGUUGCUGCACAGGAGCUACAUUGCAGCCAUCUCCUGCAAUGCUCCUGUGGCCGUUGUCAGAAUUUGUUAUACUCCAUCUGCCAAUCCAUGGUGCUGCUGCUUCAGCUGUGCACCAUCCUAGCAAAGCUUCUGAAGCAACUGGUCGGCUUUAUCCACAGGAUUUCUGCAUUACAGUGUACAAAGCAGUCCUUUGGCCACCCACAGUCAUCUUCUGCUCUGAUCUCACCACAAUUGUUCCAUGCAAUGAUUCCAAGGAGAACAGCUGGUGGUUUUACCUGAACCAAGCACUAGCACCCAUGCCAUUUAGAGAGAUUGCCUUUGCAAAGCCAGUUUUGGGAAUAACGUUGCUGCAGUGACAGUGGAAACAUCACCUGAAAAAUUAUCUUAUGAACUGUUAAAUCUGCUUGUGUGUAUGAAAUGCCACAUGGCAACAAUUAAGUUGUUUUUAGAAGUGUGAAUCACCAGUACGGAAUUGGUACUGAUGAGUCUGUAAGAAAUGGUUUGUUGAUGUGAACCUUAUUUUCAAACAGUAAAGCAUGCUACUUAAGAAGUGUUUUUACUGAAGUAUUGAAGAAAUCUGCUGUUUUUCUUUGGAAUAAAGGUUGGUUUUUGUUGUUGUUUGUUUUUUGACUGGCUGAUUGUUAAUGUAUGCUGUAAGUGAUGUGGUUUAAAAUUAUGAUUAAAUUGAUUUUUAUACCUGAGUUUUCUUGAGCACUUCUGAAAAGUCAUAUGUAUGUCUGUCUUUGACAAUGAUUUUUUUUUCCUUUUUUUUUUUUCUUAGCUGAGUUGUAAGAUGAAAUAAAUCAUAAUUUGAGAAGCAGACAGGUGUCUUAUCAGAACAUAUAUAAGUGCAAGUGAUGUUCUCCACAGAUUUCUAAACAACAUGCUACCACUGAACCAGCAAGUGGCCCUUGUUCUGACAGCUCUGCUUCAAGAACGACAAUUUGAACUGGUGACAUUGAAUGCCAGUGCUGCUGAAAAACAAAUAAGUAUUGCAAGAAAACAAAGCUGCAAGACAAUCAAACAAAAAAGUUCCAUAAAUAUUGGUGUCUCUUAUUAUCAGGGAAGGCUGAAUUUAAUGCAAGCCAUUAAUUAUGAUUCCAGUCACUUUGGAGAAGUUUCAAAGCUGUUUUUCAGCUGUUUUCAAACCCUGAUCCUGAUCAAUCUAAUAUAAAUUCUAGUCCAAACCGUCUUCAGCAAAAUGCCAUUAAACCAUUUCAAUCUGUUAAAUACUAUUUUUAAAUCAUUAACUAUCACAAAUAUUCACACUCUCCCUAUCACAGACCACAAAAUGAACCCAAGUAAAUUCAAGGGACUGGAGGAAAACAAUUUGCUUUCUGGUGCCCAGAAGUGUGACUGGGCUCAUGUAUUUUGCAGAAUACUGGACUAAAUACAGGACUUCCCUUCUUCAAACAUACUUUAGAGUGUAAUCAAAACACAAUUCUGAAGAUAUGCUUGUAUGUUGUGAAGGUUAUAGAGCAGAUUGUCUUGAAUGCAAUUACACAGCAUGUGCGAGACAAUCAGGGGAUCAAGCCUAGCCAGCAUGGAUUCAUGAAAGGCAGGUCCUUCCAAUUUUGUCUCCUUGUGACCCACCUGGAGGAUGAGGGAAAGGCUGUUGAUGUAGUCUACCUAGACUUCAGCAAAGCCUUUGACACUGUCUCCCACAGCAUCCUCCUGGGGAAGCUGGCAGCCCAUCUUCAUGAAAUCCUUGUUUGUAUACAGCAGGCUUCUUAAAUGCUAUCUUCACCUGAAACUGUGUUCCAAUCUAACACAGAAAUCACAAGAGUUUGAGUGAUGACCCUGUGUUUAAUCUUUACUUUGAUUGCCUUCUAUACAGUGGCAUCAAUGGGGAAAAAGACAACAAUAUUCUGAAGGCAUUGACAUAGGUUGAAUUAAUUUACUGUCUCACUUCAACCUAUAGUACUUGGAAGAAAUAUUAAUGUGGGAUUUUUAUCUGUUCUCAAUGUGAUCUUUGUCAGGAGUAUGAGAUGUCUGAAACAAGUUAAUUAAAGAAUCUUUAAAAAUAUAUUUCCUUCUGAAACAGAGCUGAGAAAGCUGUCACAUUAAAUAGCAUUUCUUUUAUUCUAAAUUUGCCCCCUGGUUAUGCUUGAUACCGCAAUCUUUGAGUUUUGAAGCUCUGACUAAGCACCUCACUAGAAAGGCAUGAUAAAAACAGUUUAUGAACCUAUUUUACCAAAUGACUUUUUGCAAGGAUAACUGCUCCAUAUAAAAAUUAAAACAAAACAAAACAAACAAAAA